rnacentral:rRNA from 1 species
UACGUAGGGUGCAAGCGUUGUCCGGAAUUAUUGGGCGUAAAGAGCUCGUAGGCGGUUCGUCGCGUCGGCUGUGAAAACCUGAGGCUCAACCUCAGGCCUGCAGUCGAUACGGGCGGACUUGAGUACUGCAGGGGAGACUGGAAUUCCUGGUGUAGCGGUGAAAUGCGCAGAUAUCAGGAGGAACACCGGUGGCGAAGGCGGGUCUCUGGGCCGAUAUUGACGCUGAGGAGCGAAAGCGUGGGGGAGCGAACAGG